UGGGGGAUAUUGCACAAUGGGCGAAAGCCUGAUGCAGCGACGCCGCGUGGGGGAUGAAGGCCUUCGGGUUGUAAACUUCUUUUGCUCUGAACAAGGCAUGCUAAUGGGUGUGUUGAGUGUAGGGGUUGAUUAGCGCCGGCUAACUACGUGCCAGCAGCCGCGGUAAUACGUAGGGCGCGAGCGUUGUCCGGAAUUAUUGGGCGUAACGGGCUUGUAGGUGGCUGGUUGCGUCUGUCGUGAAAGCUCAUGGCUUAACUGUGGGUUUGCGGUGGGUACGGGCUGGCUUGAGUGCAGUAGGGGAGGCUGGAAUUCCUGGUGUAGCGGUGGAAUGCGCAGAUAUCAGGAGGAAUACCGGUGGCGAAGGCGGGUCUCUGGGCUGUUACUGACACUGAGGAGCGAAAGCAUGGGGAGCGAACAGG
rnacentral:rRNA from 1 species